UACGUAGGGGCCGAGCGUUGUCCGGAGUUAUUGGGCGUAAAGCGCGCGCAGGCGGCCUCGCGCGCCCGACGUGAAAGCCCCCGGCUUAACCGGGGAGGGUCGUUGGGGACGGCGGGGCUUGAGGGCGGGAGAGGUCGGUGGAAUUCCCGGUGUAGUGGUGAAAUGCGUAGAGAUCGGGAGGAACACCUGUGGCGAAGGCGACUGACUGGACAAGUAUUGACGCUGAGGUGCGAAAGCGUGGGGAGCAAACAGG
rnacentral:rRNA from 1 species